CAGUCGCCGCGGUAAUACGUAGGGUGCGAGCGUUAAUCGGAAUUACUGGGCGUAAAGCGUGCGCAGGCGGUUAUAUAAGACAGAUGUGAAAUCCCCGGGCUCAACCUGGGACCUGCAUUUGUGACUGUAUAGCUAGAGUACGGUAGAGGGGGAUGGAAUUCCGCGUGUAGCAGUGAAAUGCGUAGAUAUGCGGAGGAACACCGAUGGCGAAGGCAAUCCCCUGGACCUGUACUGACGCUCAUGCACGAAAGCGUGGGGAGCAAACAGGAUUAGAGACCCCAGUAGUCCCUGUCUCUUAUAC
rnacentral:rRNA from 1 species